GACAGAGGCCUCAAGCGUUAGGCGGAAUCACUGGGCUUAAAGCGUGUGUAGGCGGAUCGUUAAGUGUCUUGUGAAAUCCCACGGCUCACCCGUGGAACUGCUGGGCAUACUGGCGAUCUUGGGCCAACUAGGGGCAACUGGAACAAGCGGUGGAGCGGUGAAAUGCGCAGAUAUCGCUUGGAACGCCAAAGGUGAAAACAGGUUGCUGGGGUUGUGCCGACGCUGAGACACGAAAGCCAGGGGAGCAAACGGG
rnacentral:rRNA from 1 species